rnacentral:tRNA from 1 species
AGCAGGUGGGUCAGACGGUCAAGACGCUGGGCUCAUAUCCCAGAGUACCCGGUUCGAUUCCGGGACCUGCUUCCA